AACGCACGAGACCUGCGGACCUGCGGAGGGAUCAUUAAUGAGAAGCUGCCCCUCGUGGGUAGACCUCCCACCCUCUGUGAACUUACCUUUGUUGCUUUGGCAGGCCCGUCCUCUGGACCGCCGGCUUCGGCUGGCCCGUGCCCGCCAGAGGAUUCCAAACCCUGUCUGUCAGUGUUGUCUGAGUCUAUAUGAAAUCGUUAAAACUUUCAACAAUGGAUCUCUAGAUCGGAAGAGCACACG
rnacentral:misc_RNA from 1 species